rnacentral:rRNA from 1 species
UUGUCUCUCUUGAGUGGAUCCUGAGUACGACGGAGCACGUGAAAUUCCGUCGGAAUCUGGGAGGACCAUCUCCUAAGGCUAAAUACUCUCUAGUGACCGAUAGUGAACCAGUACCGUGAGGGAAAGGUGAAAAGCACCCCGGAAGGGGAGUGAAAUAGAACCUGAAACCGUGUGCUUACAAGUAGUCAGAGCCCGUUAAUGGGUGAUGGCGUGCCUUUUGUAGAAUGAACCGGCGAGUUACGAUUUGAUGCAAGGUUAAGCAGUAAAUGUGGAGCCGUAGCGAAAGCGAGUCUGAAUAGGGCGUUUAGUAUUUGGUCGUAGACCCGAAACCAGGUGAUCUACCCUUGGUCAGGUUGAAGUUCAGGUAACACUGAAUGGAGGACCGAACCGACUUACGUUGAAAAGUGAGCGGAUGAACUGAGGGUAGCGGAGAAAUUCCAAUCGAACCUGGAGAUAGCUGGUUCUCUCCGAAAUAGCUUUAGGGCUAGCCUCAAGUGAUGAUUAUUGGAGGUAGAGCACUGUUUGGACGAGGGGCCCCUCUCGGGUUACCGAAUUCAGACAAACUCCGAAUGCCAAUUAAUUUAACUUGGGAGUCAGAACAUGGGUGAUAAGGUCCGUGUUCGAAAGGGAAACAGCCCAGACCACCAGCUAAGGUCCCAAAAUAUAUGUUAAGUGGAAAAGGAUGUGGCGUUGCCCAGACAACUAGGAUGUUGGCUUAGAAGCAGCCAUCAUUUAAAGAGUGCGUAAUAGCUCACUAGUCGAGUGACACUGCGCCGAAAAUGUACCGGGGCUAAACAUGUUACCGAAGCUGUGGAUUGUCCUUUGGACAAUGGUAGGAGAGCGUUCUAAGGGCGUUGAAGCAUGAUCGUAAGGACAUGUGGAGCGCUUAGAAGUGAGAAUGCCGGUGUGAGUAGCGAAAGACGGGUGAGAAUCCCGUCCACCGAUUGACUAAGGUUUCCAGAGGAAGGCUCGUCCGCUCUGGGUUAGUCGGGUCCUAAGCUGAGGCCGACAGGCGUAGGCGAUGGAUAACAGGUUGAUAUUCCUGUACCACCUAUAAUCGUUUUAAUCGAUGGGGGGACGCAGUAGGAUAGGCGAAGCGUGCGAUUGGAUUGCACGUCUAAGCAGUAAGGCUGAGUAUUAGGCAAAUCCGGUACUCGUUAAGGCUGAGCUGUGAUGGGGAGAAGACAUUGUGUCUUCGAGUCGUUGAUUUCACACUGCCGAGAAAAGCCUCUAGAUAGAAAAUAGGUGCCCGUACCGCAAACCGACACAGGUAGUCAAGAUGAGAAUUCUAAGGUGAGCGAGCGAACUCUCGUUAAGGAACUCGGCAAAAUGACCCCGUAACUUCGGGAGAAGGGGUGCUCUUUAGGGUUAACGCCCAGAAGAGCCGCAGUGAAUAGGCCCAAGCGACUGUUUAUCAAAAACACAGGUCUCUGCUAAACCGUAAGGUGAUGUAUAGGGGCUGACGCCUGCCCGGUGCUGGAAGGUUAAGAGGAGUGGUUAGCUUCUGCGAAGCUACGAAUCGAAGCCCCAGUAAACGGCGGCCGUAACUAUAACGGUCCUAAGGUAGCGAAAUUCCUUGUCGGGUAAGUUCCGACCCGCACGAAAGGCGUAACGAUUUGGGCACUGUCUCAACGAGAGACUCGGUGAAAUCAUAGUACCUGUGAAGAUGCAGGUUACCCGCGACAGGACGGAAAGACCCCGUGGAGCUUUACUGUAGCCUGAUAUUGAAAUUCGGCACAGCUUGUACAGGAUAGGUAGGAGCCUUUGAAACGUGAGCGCUAGCUUACGUGGAGGCGCUGGUGGGAUACUACCCUAGCUGUGUUGGCUUUCUAACCCGCACCACUUAUCGUGGUGGGAGACAGUGUCAGGCGGGCAGUUUGACUGGGGCGGUCGCCUCCUAAAAGGUAACGGAGGCGCUCAAAGGUUCCCUCAGAAUGGUUGGAAAUCAUUCAUAGAGUGUAAAGGCAUAAGGGAGCUUGACUGCGAGACCUACAAGUCGAGCAGGGUCGAAAGACGGACUUAGUGAUCCGGUGGUUCCGCAUGGAAGGGCCAUCGCUCAACGGAUAAAAGCUACCCCGGGGAUAACAGGCUUAUCUCCCCCAAGAGUUCACAUCGACGGGGAGGUUUGGCACCUCGAUGUCGGCUCAUCGCAUCCUGGGGCUGUAGUCGGUCCCAAGGGUUGGGCUGUUCGCCCAUUAAAGCGGUACGCGAGCUGGGUUCAGAACGUCGUGAGACAGUUCGGUCCCUAUCCGUCGUGGGCGUAGGAAAUUUGAGAGGAGCUGUCCUUAGUACGAGAGGACCGGGAUGGACAUACCUCUGGUGUACCAGUUGUCGUGCCAACGGCAUAGCUGGGUAGCUAUGUGUGGACGGGAUAAGUGCUGAAAGCAUCUAAGCAUGAAGCCCCCCUCAAGAUGAGAUUUCCCAACUUCGGUUAUAAGAU